UACGGAGGGAGCUAGCGUUGUUCGGAAUUACUGGGCGUAAAGCGCGCGUAGGCGGUUACUUAAGUCGGAUGUGAAAGCCCUCGGCUUAACUGAGGAAGUGCACCCGAAACUGAGUAGCUGGAGUACGAAAGAGGGUCGCGGAAUUCCCGGUGUAGAGGUGAAAUUCGUAGAUAUCGGGAGGAACACCGGUGGCGAAGGCGGCGACCUGGGUCGAGACUGACGCUGAGGCGCGAAAGCGUGGGGAGCAAACAGG
rnacentral:rRNA from 1 species